rnacentral:rRNA from 1 species
CCAAACAUCUAGCCCACCCACCACCAUCCAUUUAUAAUCUUAAUAAAACAUUUUUACCUUAUAGUAGGGGUGACUGAAAAAUUUAUAGGUGCCUUAGACCCAGUACCGAAAGGGAACGAUGAAAUAACAAUGAAACAACUAAAGCCACCACAUAGCAAAGCUCGCCCCUUGUACCUUUUGCAUCAUGGUCAAGCCAGUUCAACUAGGCAGAAAGCAAUUUUAGUUUAACCUCCCGAAACUGAGUGAGCUACUUCAAAACAGUUUUAUAGAACAAACCCGUCCCUGUCGCAAAAGGGUGGGAAGAUUUUUUAGUAGCAGUGAAAAACUUAUCGGACCCAGAGAUAGCUGGUUGUCUAAGAAAAGAAUCUGAGUUCAACCUUAAAGUCUUAUAUAACCACAAAUAAAUCCACCACACCUUAAGAGUUAUUCAAAUAGGGUACAGCCUAUUUGACCCAGGACACAGCCUCCAACACAGGGUAACAUUUAUUUUACCAAAAAGUAGGCCUAAAAGCAGCCACCUUUGAAAACGCGUUAAAGCCUCCCACCGCUAAUCCCACCAAAUACCACACACCCCCACCAACCCUUAACCACUAUUAGACGACUCCAUAGCCCUAUGGAAGACACUAUGCUUGAACUAGUAACAAGAACAUGCAAUUCUCCUAAAUAUUAGCAUAAGCCGUAAUAGACAAACCAACGGCAAUUAACACCAAUAAACCUGCUACAAUAACCACCAAGAAAACACUGUAGACCUAGAUGUUAACCUUACACAAGAAUAUUUCAGGAAAGAUUAAAAGGCAGAGAAGGAACUCGGCAAAUAAUAACCCCGCCUGUUUACCAAAAACAUCGCCUCUUGCUAAAACAUAAGAGGUCUAGCCUGCCCAGUGACUCUUCAACGGCCACGGUACCCUAACCGUGCUAAGGUAGCGCAAUUACUUGUCCUUUAAAUGAGGACCCGAAUGAAUGGCAUCACGAGGGUUAUACUGUCUCCUCCACCCAAUCAGUGAAACUGACCUCCCUGUGAAAAGGCAGGAAUAAAAAUAUUAGACGAGAAGACCCCAUGGAGCUUUAGACUUUGAGCAAGUCAAACAUUCCAAGUUCAAGACCCCUGUCUCUACAGUCUUCGGCUGGGGCGACCAUGGAGUAUAAACUAACCUCCACACCGAAUGGAUGAUUCCUUAUCCACGAACAACACCUCUAAGAAACAGAAUACUGACGCCUAAUGAUCCGGACCCCGAUCAACGAACCGAGUUACCCUGGGGAUAACAGCGCCAUCUGCCUCAAGAGUUCAUAUCGACAGGCAGGUUUACGACCUCGAUGUUGGAUCGGGGUACCCUGGUGGUGCAGCCGCUACAUAAGGUUCGUU